rnacentral:piRNA from 1 species
UGCUUGUGUGAAAGUAUAGAGUAUGACCUAU